UAAAGUGAAUGGUUAAACAGAAUGCGG
rnacentral:piRNA from 1 species